GACGAACGCUGGCGGCGUGCCUAAUACAUGCCAGUUGAGCGAUGAAGAUUGGUGCUUGCACCAAUUUGAAGAGCAGCGAACGGGUGAGUAACGCGUGGGGAAUCUGCCUUUGAGCGGGGGACAACAUUUGGAAACGAAUGCUAAUACCGCAUAACAACUUUAAACAUAAGUUUUAAGUUUGAAAGAUGCAAUUGCAUCACUCAAAGAUGAUCCCGCGUUGUAUUAGCUAGUUGGUGAGGUAAAGGCUCACCAAGGCGAUGAUACAUAGCCGACCUGAGAGGGUGAUCGGCCACAUUGGGACUGAGACACGGCCCAAACUCCUACGGGAGGCAGCAGUAGGGAAUCUUCGGCAAUGGACGAAAGUCUGACCGAGCAACGCCGCGUGAGUGAAGAAGGGUUUCGGAUCGUAAAACUCUGUUGGUAGAGAAGAACGUUGGUGAGAGUGGAAAGCUCAUCAAGUGACGGUAACUACACAGAAAGGGACGGCUAACUACGUG
rnacentral:rRNA from 1 species